GCUUAAAGAGGGGUUAAUGUCCUAUCAGCUAGUUGGUGGGGUAAUGGCCUACCAAGGCAAAGACGGGUAGCCGGCUUGAGAGGGUGGUCGGCCACACUGGGACUGAGACACUACCCAGACUCCUACGGGAGGCUGCAGUCGAGAAUCUUUCGCAAUGCCCGAAAGGGUGACGAAGCGACGCCGCGUGUGGGAAGAAGGCCUUCGGGUUGUAAACCACUGUCGGGAGUUAGGAAAUGCAGGGGCGUUAAUAGCGCGCUUGCUUGACUAAGGCUCCAGAGGAAGCCACGGCUAACUCUGUGCCAGCAGCCGCGGUAAUACAGAGGCGGCAAGCGUUGUUCGGAAUUAUUGGGCGUAAAGAGCACGUAGGCGGCCUUGCAAGUCAGUUGUGAAAGCCUUCCGCUUAACGGAAGAACGGCAUCUGAUACUACAGGGCUUGAGUACGGGAGGG
rnacentral:rRNA from 1 species